UAUGUGAUCGUCUCUCGCAUAUCAAUAAGCGGAGGAAAAGAAACUAACAAGGAUUCCCCUAGUAACGGCGAGUGAAGCGGGAAGAGCUCAAAUUUGAAAUCUUAAAGGGUUUCCCUUUACGAAUUGUAGUUUAAAGAAGUGUUUUCUGUUGAGGUUUUGGUAAAAGUUCUUUGGAAUAGGACAUCAUAGAGGGUGAGAAUCCCGUAUUUGACCUUUACUUUCAACUUUGUGAUACACUUUCAAAGAGUCGGAUUGUUUGGGAAUGCAGUCCAAAAUGGGUGGUAAAUUUCAUCUAAAGCUAAAUAUUGGCGAGAGACCGAUAGCGAACAAGUACCGUGAGGGAAAGAUGAAAAGAACUUUGAAAAGAGAGUUAAACAGUACGUGAAAUUGUCAAAAGGGAAGCGUUUGACACCAGUGUUGUUUUUCUGAAAAUCAAUUAAAGAACUGUUUAUGCUAAGUUGUUUAGACUUUAUCAGCUAUCUGUUUAGUUUUGAGCUUUUCUUUAAUGCACUUUUCAGUUAACAAGUCAACAUCAAUUUCUUUUGCUGUAAAAAAGCUUGAGGAAGGUGGCUUGAGAUUCGUCUUAAGUGUUUAUAGCCUCUUGCCUAUGCAGUCGGAGAGAUUGAGGUCUGCAGCGUAGAUCCUUCGGGGCUAAAUGCAUUUGUGCUAAGUUAUAGCAUUUUAUAGACAACUUGUUGACUAUGAUUUGUCUUGUAGCUUACUCGCUUAUGUUAUUUUACCUACGCUUAGGAUGUUGACGCGCGUGUGUGCGUG
rnacentral:rRNA from 1 species